rnacentral:ncRNA from 1 species
ACAGUACAAACUGAGCAGGCGAUGGACCGGUACAAUAUCGGUUCGUGGGGCUGGGCCAGAAAUGGCAGCAGGUAUUUUACACCUGUGGGACAGU